GACGAACGCUGGCGGCGUGCCUAAUACAUGCAAGUCGAACUCACUGGGGACGGGUGAGUAACACGUGGGUAACCUCCCAUCAGAGGGGAUAACACUUGGCAACAGGUGCUAUACCGCUACUGAUUGAUGGACCCGCGGUUCAUUAGCCAGUUGGUGAGGUAACGGCUCACCAAGGCAACGAUGAAUAGCCGACCUGGGAGGGUGAGCGGCCACACUGGGACUGAGACACGGCCCAGACUCCUACGGGAGGCAGCAGUAGGGAAUCGUCGGCAAUGGACGAAAGUCUGACCGAGCAACGCCGCGUGAGUGAAGAAGGUUUUAGGAUCGGAAAACUCUGUUGUUAGAGAAGCGGUAUCUAACCAGAAAGCCACGGCUAACUACGUGCCAGCAGCCGCGGUAAUAC
rnacentral:rRNA from 1 species